rfam:Triticum aestivum genome assembly, contig: Triticum_aestivum_CS42_TGACv1_scaffold_408986_5BL
GUCCCAAAAUUCUUGUCUUAAAUUUGUCUAAAUACGUAUGUAUCUAGUUACAUUUUAGUGUUAGAUACAUCCGUAUCUAAACAAAUGUAAGACAAGAAUUUUGGGAC